rnacentral:rRNA from 1 species
AUUGAACGCUGGCGGAAUGCUUUACACAUGCAAGUCGAACGGCAGCAAGGACUUCGGUCUGGUGGCGAGUGGCGAACGGGUGAGUAAUGUAUCGGAACGUGCCCAGUCGUGGGGGAUAACGUAGUGAAAAUUACGCUAAUACCGCAUACGAUCUAUGGAUGAAAGCGGGGGAUCGCAAGACCUCGCGCGAUUGGAGCGGCGGAUAUCAGAUUAGGUAGUUGGUGGGGUAAAGGCCCACCAAGCCAACGAUCUGUAGCUGGUCUGAGAGGACGACAGCCACACUGGAACUGAGACACGGUCCAGACUCCUACGGGAGGCAGCAGUGGGGAAUUUUGGACAAUGGGCGAAAGCCUGAUCCAGCCAUUCCGCGUGCAGGAUGAAGGCCCUCGGGUUGUAAACUGCUUUUGUACAGAACGAAAAGGCUCUGGUUAAUACCUGGGGCUCAUGACGGUACCGUAAGAAUAAGCACCGGCUAACUACGUGCCAGCCGCCGCCGUAA